rnacentral:lncRNA from 1 species
AGCACCAACGUUUUAACCGAGUCUGUGCCCAACAACAACCCCAACAAAUUAGAGAAAGAUUGCCUGACCCAGUAAGUAACUCUCUAGAUAAACGAACCAGAAUUGAUCUUCCUUCUACCUUACCUAAACCUGCAGCUCCACCUGCCCGAGCUGACCAACCUUGCCAACAUUUUGGUUGCUUGCAUGGUGACCUACCCUAUCGGCGUAUCAAUAACACCUACUAUCGGUGCGGAAACACACAACACUUUAUAAAAGACUGCCCUUAGCGACCAAAGGAUAUAGCC